GUUAGGGAUAGGGUUAGGGUUAGGAUCGACCACUCAAGACUAGCUAGCGCGGACGCGCGACUGCGCGUUCGGGUCCGCGCUGCUUUAGUAGUACCGAUACAUUUUACUUUAAAUGGGGGGAAGCCUUUGAACAGGGAUCACCUGGGGCGAAACUACAACGAAAUCAAGACAUUGACUGCUUGUUUAGCCCGACCACACACGCACACACGAGCACAUAUAGGUAGAUAUAUAUAUACAUGCACAUACACACACACUGUGUGUGAGUCUCACAUAGUCAGCAAUGGAUGACAAGCAUAUAAUAACAUCGGAAUCUUCAAUGGUGGUGCCUACAUGUACGAGAUGAUUAUACACCAACAGCAUUUUGGUGAUUCUUAUGAUCAAGACGUCCACACACAAAAUGUGGAAAAUAUGUAAAUGCCUGUGAAACGGAAGUUGAGAUGACAUUUUGGGAUUUUGGACGAAUUGUGUUUCAUAUCUGUAUGAGUUUCUCUGGCGUAAUUCCAUUGAGGGAAAGAAGAUAUUUGUUCACUUUCUGGCGGCCUGUCUUUAUGCUGCAUAAAAGCAGAGUUUAUUUUAAAGGCGUCAAACAGGAAAAUUCUGUUUUCCUUGGGCUGUAUGCAGUCUGCUUAGAAUAAAGGUUUCGAAAACUGCACCGACAAUACUGCGGCAUCAUGAGUAUGAGAGAUUUGGCACAGCCAUUUUGGAACCGCUGAUUUAUUUGACAGGAAACGUUGUAAUCUUUCUUUCGUUCUCUCACCAUGUUUAUAAAUAUAAACAUAAUCUCUGCAUAUGACGAGAGGAAGUGUUUAUAUCAAUCAUAUUCAAUUAAUAAAUUGUAAUCUCACUU